AUUUAAAAUUAAUUUAAAUUUUUUAGUAAUUAUUUAAAUUUAAAUAAAUUUAUAGAAAUAUUAAGUUUUUAGUAUUAGUAAGAAAAAAUAAGUUUUAAUUAUUUUAUUGUAAAAGUUUUGUUAAAUUAAAAAAAGAAAAUUUAAUUUAUUGUACCUUUUGUAUCAGGGAUUAUUAAAAUAAAGUGUUAUAAUUAGUAUUUCUCGAAUUAAAAAGAGUUAAUUUAAUAUGAUAGUUAAUGUAGAAAAAUUAUUAUUAAUAUUAAAUUUGAAGUGAAAUGUUAAUCGAUUUUUAAGAUAUCUAGUUUUUUAAUAUAAAAAUUUAAUUUUUUUAUAAAUUUGAUUAUGGAUUAUUAAAAAAUUUAUAAUUAUUUUAUAAUUUAUAAUUUAUGGGAUUAUCUAUAAAUUUAAAUUAAAUAAUUUUUUUAAUUAAUUUAAUAUUUAGAAUUUAAAAUUUUUAAAAUUUUAGAGUAUUUAAUAAUUUAUUAGUUUAAAAAAUUUAAUUUUUAAAAUUAUUAAUUUAUUAUUAAAAUAAAUUUAUGAAUUUUUUAAAAUUUAUAAUAAUGAUAAUAUAAGUAUAAUAAUAUGUUAAAUUAAUUAAAUUAAUAAAUUAAUUUAAGGAAUUAAGCAAAAUUAAAAUUCACUUGUUUAUCAAAAACAUGUUUUUUUGAUAUUAAUAAAAAAUUUUCUCUGCCCAAUGAUAAAAUUAAAUGGCCGCAGUAUUUUGACUGUGCAAAGGUAGCAUAAUAAAUAGUUUUUUAAUUGAAGACUUGAAUGAAUGAGAGGAUGAAAUUUUAACUGUCUCAAUUUAAUUAUAAAAUUUUAUUUUAAGUUAAAAUUCUUAAAUUAGUUUAAGGGACGAGAAGACCCUAUAGAAUUUAAAAAUUUAGAUUAAUUUAAUUAAUUAAAAUUAAUAUUAAUUUAAUUAAAAAUUUUUUUAUUGGGAUGAUAUUAAAAUUUAAAUAACUUUUAAUUAUUUAAUUCAAUAAUUUAUGAAUUAAAGGAUAUUUUAAUAAUAAAAAGAUAAAAUUACCUUAGGGAUAACAGCGUAAUAAAUUUUUAAAGUUCAAAUUAAAAAAUUUGAUUGCGACCUCGAUGUUGAAUUAAAAUAAAAUUUAAGUGAAGAAGCUUAAAAUUUAAGUCUGUUCGACUUUUAAAAUUUUACAUGAUUUG
rnacentral:rRNA from 1 species